GGCCUACGGGGGGCAGCAGUGGGGAAUAUUGCACAAUGGGGGAAACCCUGAUGCAGCGACGCCGCGUGGAGGAAGAAGGUCUUCGGAUUGUAAACUCCUGUCCUUGGGGACGAUAAUGACGGUACCCAAGGAGGAAGCACCGGCUAACUACGUGCCAGCAGCCGCGGUAAUACGUAGGGGGCAAGCGUUAUCCGGAAUUACUGGGUGUAAAGGGAGCGUAGGCGGUGAUGCAAGUCUGGAGUGAAAGGCGGGGCCCAACCCCCGGACUGCUCUGGAAACUGUAUGACUUGAGUGCAGGCGGUGUA
rnacentral:rRNA from 1 species